rnacentral:rRNA from 1 species
GAUGAACGCUGGCGGCGUGCCUAAUACAUGCAAGUCGAGCGAACAGACGAGAAGCUUGCUUCUCUGAUGUUAGCGGCGGACGGGUGAGUAACACGUGGAUAACCUACCUAUAAGACUGGGAUAACUUCGGGAAACCGGAGCUAAUACCGGAUAAUAUUUUGAACCGCAUGGUUCAAUAGUGAAAGACGGUCUUGCUGUCACUUAUAGAUGGAUCCGCGCCGCAUUAGCUAGUUGGUAAGGUAACGGCUUACCAAGGCAACGAUGCAUAGCCGACCUGAGAGGGUGAUCGGCCACACUGGAACUGAGACACGGUCCAGACUCCUACGGGAGGCAGCAGUAGGGAAUCUUCCGCAAUGGGCGAAAGCCUGACGGAGCAACGCCGCGUGAGUGAUGAAGGUCUUCGGAUCGUAAAACUCUGUUAUUAGGGAAGAACAAAUGUGUAAGUAACUGUGCACAUCUUGACGGUACCUAAUCAGAAAGCCACGGCUAACUACGUG